rnacentral:rRNA from 1 species
AAGGCUGAGUAUUAGGCAAAUCCGGUACUCGUUAAGGCUGAGCUGUGAUGGGGAGAAGACAUUGUGUCUUCGAGUCGUUGAUUUCACACUGCCGAGAAAAGCCUCUAGAUAGAAAAUAGGUGCCCGUACCGCAAACCGACACAGGUAGUCAAGAUGAGAAUUCUAAGGUGAGCGAGCGAACUCUCGUUAAGGAACUCGGCAAAAUGACCCCGUAACUUCGGGAGAAGGGGUGCUCUUUAGGGUUAACGCCCAGAAGAGCCGCAGUGAAUAGGCCCAAGCGACUGUUUAUCAAAAACACAGGUCUCUGCUAAACCGUAAGGUGAUGUAUAGGGGCUGACGCCUGCCCGGUGCUGGAAGGUUAAGAGGAGUGGUUAGCUUCUGCGAAGCUACGAAUCGAAGCCCCAGUAAACGGCGGCCGUAACUAUAACGGUCCUAAGGUAGCGAAAUUCCUUGUCGGGUAAGUUCCGACCCGCACGAAAGGCGUAACGAUUUGGGCACUGUCUCAACGAGAGACUCGGUGAAAUCAUAGUACCUGUGAAGAUGCAGGUUACCCGCGACAGGACGGAAAGACCCCGUGGAGCUUUACUGUAGCCUGAUAUUGAAAUUCGGCACAGCUUGUACAGGAUAGGUAGGAGCCUUUGAAACGUGAGCGCUAGCUUACGUGGAGGCGCUGGUGGGAUACUACCCUAGCUGUGUUGGCUUUCUAACCCGCACCACUUAUCGUGGUGGGAGACAGUGUCAGGCGGGCAGUUUGACUGGGGCGGUCGCCUCCUAAAAGGUAACGGAGGCGCUCAAAGGUUCCCUCAGAAUGGUUGGAAAUCAUUCAUAGAGUGUAAAGGCAUAAGGGAGCUUGACUGCGAGACCUACAAGUCGAGCAGGGUCGAAAGACGGACUUAGUGAUCCGGUGGUUCCGCAUGGAAGGGCCAUCGCUCAACGGAUAAAAGCUACCCCGGGGAUAACAGGCUUAUCUCCCCCAAGAGUUCACAUCGACGGGGAGGUUUGGCACCUCGAUGUCGGCUCAUCGCAUCCUGGGGCUGUAGUCGGUCCCAAGGGUUGGGCUGUUCGCCCAUUAAAGCGGUACGCGAGCUGGGUUCAGAACGUCGUGAGACAGUUCGGUCCCUAUCCGUCGUGGGCGUAGGAAAUUUGAGAGGAGCUGUCCUUAGUACGAGAGGACCGGGAUGGACAUACCUCUGGUGUACCAGUUGUCGUGCCAACGGCAUAGCUGGGUAGCUAUGUGUGGACGGGAUAAGUGCUGAAAGCAUCUAAGCAUGAAGCCCCCCUCAAGAUGAGAUUUCCCAACUUCGGUUAUAAGAUCCCUCAAAGAUGAUGAGGUUAAUAGGUUCGAGGUGGAAGCAUGGUGACAUGUGGAGCUGACGAAUACUAAUCGAUCGAAGACUUAAUCAA